UACGUAGGGUGCGAGCGUUAAUCGGAAUUACUGGGCGUAAAGUGUGCGCAGGCGGCCGCGCAAGUCGAGUGUGAAAUCCCCGAGCUUAACUUGGGAAUUGCGCUCGAAACUACGUGGCUGGAGUGUGGCAGAGGAAGGUGGAAUUCCACGUGUAGCGGUGAAAUGCGCAGAUAUCAGGAGGAACACCGAUUGCGAAGGCAGCUCGCUGGGACGUCACUGACGCUGAGACGCGAAAGCGUGGGGAGCAAACAGG
rnacentral:rRNA from 1 species